UACGGAGGAUGCAAGUGUUAUCCGGAAUCACUGGGCGUAAAGCGUCUGUAGGUGGUUAAAUAAGUCAACUGUUAAAUCUUGAGGCUCAACCUCAAAAUCGCAGUCGAAACUAUUUGACUAGAGUAUAGUAGGGGUAAAGGGAAUUUCCAGUGGAGCGGUGAAAUGCGUAGAGAUUGGAAAGAACACCGAUGGCGAAGGCACUUUACUGGGCUAUUACUAACACUGAGAGACGAAAGCUAGGGUAGCAAAUGGG
rnacentral:rRNA from 1 species